rnacentral:rRNA from 1 species
GACGAACGCUGGCGGCGUGCUUAACACAUGCAAGUCGAACGGAAAGGCCCUGCUUUUGUGGGUUGCUCGAGUGGCGAUCGGGUGAGUAACACGUGAGUAACCUGCCCUUUACUUUGGGAUAACUUCAGGAAACUUGGGCUAAUACCGGAUAGGAGCUCCUGCUGCAUGGUGGGGGUUGGAAAGUUUCGGCGGUUGGGGAUGGACUCGCGGCUUAUCAGCUUGUUGGUGGGGUAGUGGCUUACCAAGGCUUUGACGGGUAGCCGGCCUGUGAGGGUGACCGGCCAAAUUGGGACUGAGAUACGGCCCAGACGACUACGGGAGGCAGCAGUGGGGAAUAUUGCACAAUGGGCGGAAGCCUGAUGAAGCAACGCCGCGUGCGGGAUGACGGCCUUCGGGUUGUAAACCGAUUUCGCCUGUGACGAAGAGUGAGUGACGGUAAUGGGUAAAGAAGCACCGGCUAACUACGUG